AUUGAACGCUGGCGGCAUGCUUUACACAUGCAAGUCGAACGGCAGCGCGGGGCAACCUGGCGGCGAGUGGCGAACGGGUGAGUAAUACAUCGGAACGUACCCAGAAGUGGGGGAUAACGUAGCGAAAGUUACGCUAAUACCGCAUACGUUCUACGGAAGAAAGUGGGGGACCGCAAGGCCUCAUGCUUUUGGAGCGGCCGAUGUCUGAUUAGCUAGUUGGUGAGGUAAAGGCUCACCAAGGCGACGAUCAGUAGCUGGUCUGAGAGGACGACCAGACACACUGGGACUGAGACACGGCCCAGACGCCUACGGGAAGCAGCAGUGGGGAAUUUUGGACAAUGGGGGCAACGCUGAUCCAGCAAUGCCGCGUGAGUGAAGAAGGCCUUCGGGUUGUAAAGCUCUUUUGUCAGGGAAGAAAUCGCAGAGGCUAAUAUCCUGUGCGGAUGACGGUACCUGAAGAAUAAGCACCGGCUAACUACGUGCCAGCAGCCGCGGUAAUAC
rnacentral:rRNA from 1 species